rnacentral:lncRNA from 1 species
GUUUGCAGAAGAUAUAGAAAAAGCGGGCUUGAGAGGGUGGUCAUGUGAUGAGUCAGGGACAACCAAGGCCCUUGGGUCAUCCAGAGCCUCUCUGGACAGGCUGCUUCCUGAGCUCCUCCCAACUGCUCAGUCAUGCCAGGCAGAGCAAACUCUCCAGCCAGAGAUGUUAUAUAAGCUGCAUUUUUUUUUUUUGUUUACAGGAAAAUUUGAAAACAUCAACGGGGCUUGGCCUAAGCUGCUUAAUUCCUAAAGUCAACAAAAAUUGGGCAAGUAAGGCAGGCAUGUGCAAAGCAUCUGUUUAGGCCCAAAGCCAGGGCUAGCACGGGCAGCCCCUGGUCAUCUCUAGCUCAGCCUACUCUUGGUCCCAAGAUUCAAAAUCGGAAAUGCCUGGGGGAAGCCAUGUACUCGUGGAUGCACGGCUUCCACGCACACUCACUAUGGGCCUGGACCCUCUGCCAGGCGCUGAAGUUCUCUCCCCUAGUGGCAGCCCUGUACUCUGCUAUACUCUGGAAGGCUCAGAAUGCUCUGGAAGAUCUCUCUAGGCAUUUUCCAACACUUCAGACAGGGUUCAGUCUCUUAGCAAAGCAGGAAGAGUGGGAGGCACCUCAGCUGGAGAGGGAAGACAGAGGUAAGUAGACAGAGGGUGUCUCCUCCUUACAGUCUCAAACUUCUAAAGCUCACAGCCUUUGUUCUCUCACAUGACAAUGGUGCUGAGCCGGUGCCAAGCUUCACAAGCAACUGCCUUGCCCCUCCUGGGAAUUCUUCCCAGGGCCGGUCCCAGGCUGCUGCAUUCACAGAACAUCUUUCCUUUGAGCAGGAGCCAAACAUGAUCUCACAAGUCCUCAUGUGGCCUUCUGGGAAAAAAAUGUUUGUGCUGGUAAAUGUUUGGCUUGAGAAAGAACCCUGUUUUCCAAAGCUCGUAUGCUUUACAGGAGAUUACAGGGUUGGAAAAUGGAAGAAACUGGAGUAACACUGUCCUUCCCUCGAGAAAGGCAAAGGGGUAAGGGCAGAGAAGAUCCAGAUCCAGAUAGAUGACCUAGCAGGAGGACAAUCAGGCUUCCUGCGCAUCCUGACACUGAGUUCUUUAUCAGGCCAACAGUGGCUACACAGAAACAGAUAUGUUUUCCUUCUGCUUCUGCUCCUAAGCUGGUGCUCCUUGUGAUGUAGGUUAGAGAGGCUACCGCAUAGCACACGUGCAUUACUCCUUCAUCCUGUGCCUGGGGCAGACAUCGAAAAUUGACCACCACACACUUUUCUGCUGAAUUUUCAGAGGUUCACGGCACAGCAGUGCAGGACAAUGUGGCCAAUUGUGCAGAAAUAGCAGGCUGGAG